rnacentral:rRNA from 1 species
AACGGGUGAGUAACACGUGGGCAAUCUGCCCUUCACUCUGGGACAAGCCCUGGAAACGGGGUCUAAUACCGGAUACGAGUUCGGGAGGCAUCUCCUGGACUGGAAAGCUCCGGCGGUGAAGGAUGAGCCCGCGGCCUAUCAGCUUGUUGGUGGGGUAACGGCCCACCAAGGCGACGACGGGUAGCCGGCCUGAGAGGGCGACCGGCCACACUGGGACUGAGACACGGCCCAGACUCCUACGGGAGGCAGCAGUGGGGAAUAUUGCACAAUGGGCGAAAGCCUGAUGCAGCGACGCCGCGUGAGGGAUGACGGCCUUCGGGUUGUAAACCUCUUUCAGCAGGGAAGAAGCGAAAGUGACGGUACCUGCAGAAGAAGCGCCGGCUAACUACGUGCCAGCAGCCGCGGUAAUACGUAGGGCGCAAGCGUUGUCCGGAAUUAUUGGGCGUAAAGAGCUCGUAGGCGGCUUGUCACGUCGGGUGUGAAAGCCCGGGGCUUAACCCCGGGUCUGCAUCCGAUACGGGCAGGCUAGAGU